rnacentral:rRNA from 1 species
CCUACGGGAGGCAGCAGUGGGGAAUAUUGCACAAUGGGGGAAACCCUGAUGCAGCAACGCCGCGUGAGGGAGGAAGUAUCUCGGGAUGUAAAGCUCCAUCAGUAGGGAAUAGAAAAGAAGGUACCUGAAAAGAAGCCCCGGCCAACUACGUGCCAGCAGCCGCGGCAAUACGUAGGCGGCCAGCGUAAUCCGGAUUUACUGGGUGUAAAGGGAGCGUAGACGGGAAGGCAAGUCAGAAGUGAAAACCCAAGGCUCAACCAUAGGACUGCUUUUGAUACUGUCAAACUAGAGUACGGGUGAGGUAAGAGGAAUUCCUGGUGUAGCGGUGAAAUGCGUAGAUAUUAGGAAGAACACCAGUGGCGAAGGCGUCUUACUGAACCGAAACUGACGUUGAGGCUCGAAAGCGUGGGGAGCAAACAGGAUUAGAUACCCGUGUAGUC